rnacentral:rRNA from 1 species
AUUGAACGCUGGCGGCAGGCCUAACACAUGCAAGUCGAACGAGUGGCGGACGGGUGAGUAAUGCAUGGGAAACUGCCUGAUGGAGGGGGAUAACUACUGGAAACGGUAGCUAAUACCGCAUACCAUCGGAUGACGCCAGAUGGGAUUGGCUGGUAGGUGGGGUAAAGGCUCACCUAGGCGACGAUACCUAUCGGGUCUGAGAGGAGGACCGGCCACAUGGGAACGGAGAACCGGUCCAGACUCCUACGGGAGGCAGAAGUGGGGAAUAUUGCACAAUGGGCGCAAGCCUGAUGCAGCCAUGCCGCGUGUAUGAAGAAGGCCUUCGGGUGGUAAUGUACGUUCAGCGGGGAGGCGUUACCCGCAGAAGAAGCACCGGCUAACUCCGUGCCAGCAGCCGCGGUAAUAC